rnacentral:rRNA from 1 species
CUAACCAGGAUUCCCCUAGUAACGGCGAGUGAAGCGGGAUGAGCUCAAAUUUGUAAUCUGGCGGUCUUUGGCCGUCCGAGUUGUAGUCUGGAGAAGCGUUUUCCGUGUCGGACCGUGUACAAGUCCCUUGGAACGGGGCGUCGCAGAGGGUGAGAAUCCCGUCUUUGACACGGAUCGCCGAUGCUUUGUGAUGCGCUCUCAAAGAGUCGAGUUGUUUGGGAAUGCAGCUCAAAAUGGGUGGUAAAUUCCAUCUAAAGCUAAAUAUGGGCGAAAGACCGAUAGCGAACAAGUACCGUGAGGGAAAGAUGAAAAGCACUUUGGAAAGAGAGUUAAACAGUACGUGAAAUUGUUGAAAGGGAAACGCUUGAAGUCAGUCGCGUCUCCUGGGACUCAGCCUUGGCUUUCAUCGGCCCUGGCGUACUUCCCGGGGUGACGGGCCAGCAUCGAUUUUGACUGUCGGAGAAAGGCUUUGGGAAUGUGGCAUCCCCAUUGUGGGAUGUGUUAUAGCCCUGGGUCGCAUGCGACGGUUGGGAUCGAGGAUCGCAGCACGCCUUCAUUGGCCGGGGUUCGCCCACGUAACGUGCUUAGGAUGCUGGCGUAAU